CGCGCAGGCGGUUGGGUAAGUGAGGCAUGAAAGCCCCAUGGCUAAACCUGGGGAGGUUGUCUGAUACUGCCUGACUAGAGUACGAUAGAGGGGUGUAGAAUUCCGCGUGUAGUGGUGAAAUGCGUAGAGAUGCGGAGGAAUACCAGAGGCGAAGGCGGCACCCUGGAUCGUAACUGACGCUGAGGCGCGAAAGCAUGGGUAGCGAACGGGAUUAGAAACCCCGGUAGUCCAUGCCGUAAACGAUGUGUACUCGAUGUUCGGCCUACAUUGUAGGUUGAGUGUCUAAGCAAACGCGGUAAGUACACCGCCUGGGGAGUACGGUCGCAAGGCUAAA
rnacentral:rRNA from 1 species